rnacentral:rRNA from 1 species
AUGGAGAGACUUGUUAAUGUUCAUUACAUGGACAACGAGGCAUUCUUGAGUAACAAUGUCGACACUGGUGAGGAAUCAUUGGUUUUUGAUACAAGCCCUAGCUAUGAGCAUGUUGUUGCAAAAGUGAGACAAGUCUUAAAGUGGAUGGACACCAAUGUUGAUGUUAAGUUAAUAGGAAGGUAUGAUGUUGGAGUUGGAGCCAAAUCUCGGUUGAAAAGUAUGCCUAUCACCUCGGAUUUGCAUUGGGAUGUAUACAAGGAAAAGGUUUCCCAAUCGGAAGACAAGUCACUUGAAUUGUUUGCCACCAAGGUUGAAUCUCCUCGGUUUACACUUGAUUUGAACCGGCAUGUCUCUUCCCCAAUGGAUGACAUGAGCGAGAGGACAAUGGUGCCACUUGUUGAGCAUAGGGUUGUGGUUGAUGCCCCCAAUGCUUAUCGCCAACCAUGUCCCCGUCUACCAUCUAGUGAAGCAAAUGAGGUUGAGUUGUAUGCCCCCCAAUGCUUCUAG